ensembl:rRNA 5S_rRNA 5S ribosomal RNA
ACAGCCGUAUCACCCUGUAGCCCAAGACUGGUUGCCCACUGAAGCAGGGUUGACCCUGGUCAGUACCUGGAUGGGAGACCUCCUGGGAAAAAAAGGUUACUGUUUGAA